UAGGGAAUAUUGCACAAUGGGGGAAACCCUGAUGCAGCAACGCCGCGUGAAGGAAGACGGUCUUCGGAUUGUAAACUUUUGUUCUUGGUGAAGAAGAAUGACGGUAGCCAAGGAGGAAGCCACGGCUAACUACGUGCCAGCAGCCGCGGUAAUACGUAGGUGGCAAGCGUUGUCCGGAAUUACUGGGUGUAAAGGGAGCGCAGGCGGGAAAUCAAGUUGGAUGUGAAAUGUCGGGGCUUAACCUCGGAACUGCAUUUGAAACUGUUGGUCUUGAGUAUCGGAGAGGUCAUCGGAAUUCCUUGUGUAGCGGUGAAAUGCGUAGAUAUAAGGAAGAACACCAGUGGCGAAGGCGGAUGACUGGACGACAACUGACGGUGAGGCGCGAAAGCGUGGGGAGCG
rnacentral:rRNA from 1 species